rnacentral:rRNA from 1 species
GAUGAACGCUGGCGGCGUGCCUAACACAUGCAAGUCGAGCGAUUCUCUUCGGAGAAGAGCGGCGGACGGGUGAGUAACGCGUGGGUAACCUGCCCUGUACACACGGAUAACAUACCGAAAGGUAUGAUAAUACGAGAUAAUAUACUUUUAUCGCAUGGUAGAAGUAUCAAAGCUCCGGCGGUACAGGAUGGACACGCGUCUGAUUAGCUAGUUGGUAAGGUAACGGUUUACCAAGGCGACGAUCAGUAGCCGACCUGAGAGGGUGAUCGGCCACAUUGGAACUGGGACACGGUCCAAACUCCGACGGGAGGCAGCAGUGGGGAAUAUUGCACGAUGGGCGAAAGCCUGAUGCAGCAACGCCGCGUGAGCGAUGAAGGCCUUCGGGUCGUAAAGCUCUGUCCUCAAGGAAGAUAAUGACGGUACUUGAGGAGGAAGCCCCGGCUAACUACGUGCCAGCCGCCGCCGUAA